GACGAACGCUGGCGGCGUGCUUAACACAUGCAAGUCGAACGGAAAGGCCCUGCUUUUGUGGGGUGCUCGAGUGGCGAACGGGUGAGUAACACGUGAGUAACCUGCCCUUGACUUUGGGAUAACUUCAGGAAACUGGGGCUAAUACCGGAUAGGAGCUCCUGCUGCAUGGUGGGGGUUGGAAAGUUUCGGCGGUUGGGGAUGGACUCGCGGCUUAUCAGCUUGUUGGUGGGGUAGUUGCUUACCAAGGCUUUGACGGGUAGCCGGCCUGAGAGGGUGACCGGCGACAUUGGGACUGAGAUACGGCCCAGACUCCUACGGGAGGCAGCAGUGGGGAAUAUUGCACAAUGGGCGGAAGCCUGAUGCAGCAACGCCGCGUGCGGGAUGACGGCCUUCGGGUUGUAAACCGCUUUCGCCUGUGACGAAGCGUGAGUGACGGUAAUGGGUAAAGAAGCACCGGCUAACUACGUG
rnacentral:rRNA from 1 species